rnacentral:lncRNA from 1 species
AGUAUAUAUAGCACGCCAAGCGAGGGGGCCAGGAGUUGCCACGGGUGAUGGAAAAAAGAUGGGAGAGAUUUGGGUCACGUUCCGGUAGGAAGAAGGUGAGGAAGCAGGAUGCGAACGUUCUAAAGGGAGGGAAAGAGCCACGGGUGUAGCAGCCAGCUGUGGGGCUGAGCCAGCGCAGGCAUGCUCAUUAGAAACCCUGUUCCUGCACAACCCACUUUGAGCCCUUCUUCCUGCCCUCCUGGCUCCGCUGCCGAGGGUCACGUGGCAGCUGCUCCACCAGGAGGUCUAUGAAUGAGCGCUUGCUCCCAGCUCCCAAGAUGCUUCCAGUCUUUUCCUUCCUGGUUGUGGAUGCAGAGCUGGAAACCGGAAAUUCCCUCUGUUGUAAGUCCCCUUCCCUAGGAGCUGGCCUCACUGGAGCUUGACAAGAGUUCGAGCCGGGAGUUCUGAGAGCAAGAGGAGACACUAAAGAGAGAAGUGACUUUCUCGUUACUUGCCCCGGCUCAUCCAUCUUUUCUGCACCUCAGCCCUCAGUGGCCCUUGUUCUUGGUUUGUGUGUCCUGUGAGCACACGGAGUCUGAGUCUGGGCCAUCUGCAGGGUGGCUUGCCUCUGGUGCCCACUUAUUACCCAAC